GAUCGUUGCCGAUAUAGGCGUUCUAGGUCACACAGCCAACGCUCCAGCAGCAGACCGAAUUCAAAGACGCCAGCACUCGAAGAACAAAAAGAUCGAUGGAACCCCACAGGAACGGCGACACGGAAAGUCCAGAGCCGCGGAGAGCGAUCGGGGGGCGCCAUGACGACGAGGCUGAGGAUCAGAGAAGACGACCAAUGAACGAAUAAUCUUCAAGCACUUCAAACUCCCUGGCCGAGAAACAGGGGCGAACAGAGGAAUUACCACCGUGGCCGAACCGUCGAUGGCGGAACGGCUACGGC
rnacentral:lncRNA from 1 species